rnacentral:rRNA from 1 species
UACGGAGGGGACUAGCGUUGUUCGGAAUUACUGGGCGUAAAGCGCACGUAGGCGGAUUUGUAAGUCAGGGGUGAAAUCCCGGGGCUCAACCUCGGAACUGCCUUUGAUACUGCAAAUCUCGAGUCCGGAAGAGGUGAGUGGAAUUCCUAGUGUAGAGGUGAAAUUCGUAGAUAUUAGGAAGAACACCAGUGGCGAAGGCGGCUCACUGGGCCGGUACUGACGCUGAGGUGCGAAAGCGUGGGGAGCGAACAGG